rnacentral:rRNA from 1 species
CCCUUAGAUGUUCUGGGCCGCACGCGUGCUACACUGAGUGGAUCAGCGGGUCAGGUUGCGCGAAAGCGUUUCCUAAUCUUUAAAUCCGCUCGUGAUGGGGAUUGACGGUUGCAAUUUUCUGUCAUGAACGAGGAAUACCUUGUAAGCGCGGGUCAUCAUCCCGCGCUGAAUACGUCCCUGCCCUUUGUACACACCGCCCGUCGCUACUACCGAUGAGUCGUCCGGUGAAGUUCGUAGACCUCGUGAUCGCGGAUCACUGGGGGAAGCAAAAUGAACCUCGCGGUUUAGAGGAAGGAGAAGUCGUAACA